rnacentral:rRNA from 1 species
UACAGGGGGUGCAAACGUUGCUCGGAAUUAUUGGGCGUAAAGCGCGCGUAGGCGGCUACUUAAGUCGGAUGUGAAAGCCCCUGGCUCAACUGGGGAAGUGCACCCGAAACUGAGUAGCUAGAGUGCAAAAGAGGGUCGCGGAAUUCCCGGUGUAGAGGUGAAAUUCGUAGAUAUCGGGAGGAACACCGGUGGCGAAGGCGGCGACCUGGGUUGACACUGACGCUGAGGCGCGAAAGCGUGGGGAGCAAACAGG